CAGCGCUGAGACAGGGCAGAGAACAGAGAGAUCCCUGUGGGCUACAAGGGAGGGAGGCUUGGGAAGAUUCAGUGAAAGAGAGGAAGAUUUGAGCGCCUUGAAAUUGGGUGGGAGAGGGGAAUACAUUCUUGCAGACAAGAAAGUGAGAAACCAUGAGGAAUUCAAGUCAACCAGCUACAACAUGCAGUGCCAGUUCAACAAAGAUAUAAAACUACAGCUGA